rnacentral:misc_RNA from 1 species
UGAAAGUGAAAUUGUCGAAAUUGAUGAAAGUAAGGAAACACUUGAGGCAGAACUGUCUUCUCUGAAAUCUGAAGUUCAACGUCUGAGGGCUGAUCUGAAAGCAGCUGACAUCAAAUACAAUGAAGAGAAAAAUCGAAGCACGCUUGAAAUGAGAAGUGCCUAUGAGUUGGUGGAACAAAUCAAGUCAAUGUCGAAGCAAAGGGAAG